ACCCAGGGCAUUUGAGCUCUGUUGCAAACUCCUCCCACGCUGGGUGUGGCCACUUUGCCCUCCCUGCCCACUCCCCUUUAUAACCCUGCCGGGAAAGGUGAGAGCCCCAAGCUGAGCCCAUUAUGGGCUGAGGAAUCCUCCUCCUGUGAUCAUCACUGGUGCCACUGUGGGCUCUUUGACAGAGGAGGGAAGAGAUGCCAAGCAGCUGCCUCCCAAUGCUUUGGAGACAUCACUUGAGCUUUGAGUUUAAACAUUAAAGACCAAACCAAGCCUGCUUCCUGGGGAAAACAAACUGCUGCAGAAGGAUGUGGCUCCUCUUGACUCGGGGCUGCUGCCACAAGGUUGUGUUGUGAGAGAUUUCCACUCUGGGUGGGGUUCCUCUGCCCCUACCUCAUCCUCCUGUGUCGUGUUUAAAUCAAGGAGUGGUGGUGGUGCAUCAGCUGCUGAAAGAAAGGAUGUGAUGGGGAAAGGAAGUGUCCUCCAAGGCACGGCAAAUGCUUGUAGGGACUUCUGGACAACUGUAGAAGAUGAUGGCAGGAUGAGGAGGGUGUCUCAAUAAAAACAGGCAAAGGAAAAGCCUUUUCUUUUCUUCUUGGCUGUUCAUUUUUUUUCUCAGGGCUCAUCUGUAGCCCUGCCUGAGCUGCAGGAUUGGAUGCCACAGGUGCCAAGAUGGGUCCAGGUGAAGCAACAUCCCUGGGAGCUGGUGAAGCCACUGGGACUAGUGGUUGACUCUCCCUUGUUGAGGCUCCUGAAGGCUUUUUCUCUUGGCUCCUUCAAGUUAUUUGCUUCUAUUUCAUGCCCUCAGAUAACAGACAACUGCUGGUUUCAUCAGAGAGAGCAGCUUAGCCCAAGUGUGCUGCUAAAGGCAAGGAGAGGUGCUCCAAGCACUGUGGUGCUGCAAAGAGGAAUCCAACUUCCAUGUUCACAAGGCUCCAGUGAGGAAGUGAUGGGAAAGAAAUGCAAAGCUUGUAAUGGAGCUGCAAGCAAAACACUGGAGGAAGCAGUGGGCCAACAGGGAUGCUCUCCCUCACUGAUCCAUGCCUGAGCUGAGCAUCACCACCCACGGGUGCCCUAAAGGGCAGCCGGAUACAUACAGAUGGACAGCAGCAGAGAAGAUGAGCUGACAACAAUACACGUGAGCAGGAAGCUCCAGGCUGGGAGGAGGACAUUCAAGGAGCAAACAGCAGCCAGGGUGAAGCUGUUCUGCUUUAAGGAGUGAAACCUCCCACCGAGCACAGAGAUCUGAAUGCCUUUGGGCCACCUCCUUUCCAAAUUCCUUGUGCCCAGCUGCAGGCAGAGACGCAUUGCACAGGCACGGAGAAGAAGCAGGCUCCUCAAGGGGGCUUGAGUAGCUGGAGGCAGACACAAUAAAACCCUCUCACACUAGAAAA